GCCUCCCUCCCACUCGACGUUCAAAUGGGCAGCAGCUGGAGUUCCGCCCGAAGUCUCGAGGUUGGCUUGGUUUGGCGGGCGAAGGGGACGUCGAGCAGCGCGUCGUUCGCAUCUCCUCCGCGGGCACCCGGUCAAAAGUGCGCAUAGGGCGGGAGGCGGAGGUUAGGAGGGGAAGAAGGGGUUUCCUGGGAUCGCCUGGCUGCCCGCUCCUAGUCCAGGAUUGGUGCAAGCGCAACAGUCGUCGGAAGGCGUUAAGGCGCUUCGGAGAUCGCAACAGCUGUGUCUGCGCCUCGCCGGAGGAGAGAAUCUGCCCCACGGCCACUAUUUGGGGUGAGCGGUCGAUGCAAGAUCUGCCUGCGCUACAGCGGAGUCCGUGGCAUAGAAAGGGGAGGCGGGGAAAGACGGCUAGGUGUAGAGAGCACCUGGGGGAAUAAAACUUGCCCUCGCCUUCCGUCUUGCAAAGAUUGCUCUCUGCACUUCCAUUGCUUCCGUCUGGGGAUCCGCAAGGAAAGCGAACCUUGUGCGCAGUUCCUCCCAGUCCUGGACUAGCUGCCUGUGAUGGUAUGUUAAUAGCCACAAGCAGUUUCCUAAUUUCGCAGUUACCAAAAGGGGGCAGCUGUUGCCUGCAGUGCAAAAAAUCAAAAGUGCUGUCAUCAUGAGCCUCUUGAUGUGGCUUACCUCCACUUGCAUUUUCCUGUUUUCCCAAGCACGUGUGUCAUGGAGCAUCCAAGAACUGCACGUCAGCCAGGAAACCAUUGAGAAAAUUUCAGCAGCUGGCCAGCUAAUGAAUUGCUCUGCCCCAGUUGAUGUCUUGUUUCUGUUCGAUGGAUCCUACAGCAUUGGCAAAGGGAGCUUUGAAAGGUCAAAAUACUUAGCAAUCAAGCUUUGUGAUGCUCUGGACAUCAAUCCAGGAAAGGUCAGAGUGGGAGCAAUACAGUUCAGCAACACUCCUCAUUUGGAGUUCCCGUUGGAUGCAUAUUUCACCAAGCAGGAGAUAAAAGACAAACUCAGGAAGAUUGUGUUCAAAGGUGGGAGAACAGAAACAGGACUUGCUCUGAAAUACAUUCUUCGGAAAGGAUUUUCUGGGGGCAGAAACUCAUCCAUACCUCAAAUCCUUAUCAUCCUAACUGAUGGGAGAUCUCAGGGCAAUGUGGCAGUGCCAGCCAAGCAGUUAAAAGAAAGGGGGAUUGCUGUGUUUGCUGUGGGAGUCAGCUUCCCAAGAUGGGAAGAACUGCAGGCACUAGCCAGUGAGCCGGCCGAAUGGCACAUCCUCUUUGCCGAAGAUGCUGAUGACGCCUCCAAUGGUCUAUAUACCACCCUUACAGAGUCUGCCGUCUGCAGUGCUGCAUUUCCUGGCUGCGGAGCUGAAUCUCACUCUUGCGAACGCAAAACACUCGAGAGAGUCAAAGAGUUUGUUGGAAACUACUUUUGCUGGAAGGGGUCGAAGAGCAAUAAUGCCGUGCGCACAUCGCUCUGCCCAUUUUACAACUGGAGGAACACCUUCAUCACGUAUCCUUCUAGAUGCUACCGUACCACAUGCCCAGAUCCUUGUGGUUCUCAGCCUUGCCAGAAUGGAGGCACAUGCAUUCAGCAGGGAUUAGAAGGAUACCACUGUGUCUGCCCAGUUGGCUUUGGAGGAGAUGCUAAUUGCGCACCCAAGCUGAGUCUCGAAUGCAGCGUAGACCUUCUUUUCCUGGUGGACAGUUCAUCCAGUACCACCCUCGAAGGCUUCUUGCGCUAUAAAGCUUUCCUGAAAAGGUUUCUCCAAGCCGUGUGGAGUAGAGAGAGCCCAGGGAAUGUGGGUGUGGCCCAGUACAGCAACGAUGUCAAAAUGGCCGUCGGCAUCGGAGACCACCAAGAUGCUCUCAGUCUGGUGAAGGCUGUUGAUUCCAUGCAGUUCAGAGGAGGAAGCACCUUGACCGGCAAAGCUUUGCGGUACGUGACACAGCAUGGCUUUAAGAGCGGCCCAGUCUUUGCUGAUACACCCGAUGACCUCCCACGUGUGGUCGUCUUGCUCACGGAUUCAAAUGCUCAGGAUUCGGUGGCAGAGGCAGCUAGGUACAGCAGAGGCCAAGGUGUCUUCCUCAUUGGGAUUGGCAGUGAAUCUUUGAAAGCAGAGCUGGAUAAUAUUACAGGGAAUCCAAAGUGGACACUGAUCUACUCAUCCCCACAAGAUCUCUUCAACAAGAUUACUGAACUACAAAGGAAAAUAUGCAGCAUAGACAGCCAAGGCUGCCCAUCUCAGUCUAUGGACUUGGUAUUUGCUUUGGACUCUUCGGCUUCUGUUGGAAGGAAUAACUUUGUGCAGCUGAAAACCUUUGUCAGCAGCCUCUCUCUCCAAUUUGGCAUCAAUCGGGAUGUGACUCAGGUAGGCCUCGUUGUUUUUGGGAAAAGGCCUCACACCACAUUUGGGCUGGACACACACGUGACCAGCUCAGAUCUCCAUGAAGCCAUCAGUCAAGCUCCCUUUGUAGGUGGCUCUGCCUCGGUUGGCAGCGCCUUGCUCCAUAUUUAUGACGAUCUCAUGACUGUCCAAAAAGGAGCAAGGCCUGGUGUGAAGAAGAUUGUGGUGGUGGUCACAAGUGGAGCUGGAGUGGAAGAUGCCGUUGUCCCAGCUCAACAGCUACGCAAUAAUGACGUAUCACUACUGGUUAUUGGGAUGGAACAAGUUCAAGUGAGCUCAUUGCUGAAGAUUGCAGGUUCUCACAAUAAUCUCUUAAGGAUUCCUUCCUAUGAAGAGCUAAAAAAUAAUGAAGAACUUAUCCUUGAAAGAAUAUGUGAUGAGGCCAAGAAGCCAGCAAACCUCUGCAAACCCAACCCCUGCAUGAAUGAUGGAGUUUGUGUUUCUGGAAAUGGCAGCUACUGGUGUCGUUGCCAAGGCUGGGUAGGACCUCACUGCGAAAACAGAAUUCAGAGGGGUGACACGUCACAGAUGCAUCCAGCAAUGGUCCGAGCUCCACAAAACCGACAUGGCUGGCGACAGCUGUAUCGAUCUCGCCAGCAUUCCAAAAGGCAAAUUCGAGAGACUCACUGACUAUCUUCAGCUACUGAAAACAUUGUACGAAAGAACUGAAACACAGUCAACGUUUGCAAGCAAUAAUGCUGUUCCCCAAAGCACAAGACUUUUGCACAGAAUCACUUCCUGAUAUUGGGACAGCUGAACAGAGGGAAUAUAGACACAGCUGAGCUAUUCAAACAAGGUAUGAAGACAAGUUUCACCACUUUGCUCCUAGUGCCCCUGUAUACGCCACUUCCUGCACUGAAGUGUUGUUAUUAUACCUUUUUUUAAAAAAAGUUUAUGCAGUAUGAGUAGACCCACUAAAAUCAAUUUAUUUCAUUGGCUCUCCUAUUGAGGCAGAUAGGAAAGUCAAAAUGGUUGAGAAGAAAGAGUAUAAAUUUCAGGGUGCCAAGAUUGCAUCCAUCAUUAGCAAACCUAUCUAAAAUUAUGAAACAGUAGGCACCCAAAAAUAUUUAGAACAAGGUGAAAAUCUGAGGCAGCAUCUGCAUCCAGUUUUGCCCAUCUUGGAAGUCGCAAGACAUUCCAGCACUCAGCCUUUACUUGCAACAGUUCCUUUUUCCCAGCAUGUACAGCAUCCAACACUGAUUGCAAGUAGGCUUGAUGUGUGUUCAUAGCCGCAAAUAGACACUAAAGUUUGCUUCUCUGCUGGAGUUUUGUAAUCAGAAGUGUUUGUGCAAUUUUCUCUUAACCCAAGGUCUCCAGUAGGCUGCUCCCUCCCUGGGCUGCUUAAUGAAGCCUUCAGUGCAAGCUGGAUGGGAAGUGUUUUUUAUUAGGGGAGAAUUUCUGUAAAAGAUAAGACUGGUCUUGCUACACAAAACAGCAGCAGUUUCUACUUACUUUGCCUUCUAAGAGCCCCCCCCCCCAAACAAAAGGGCGUUAUUCUGCUCUCCUUUUUGAACUCCUAGAGAAUAUUUAUUUGCAUCAAAGAGAGUUUUGGAUUAUGUUAAUAUACCCUCCUUGCCCACACAGCAAAGAGGUUUGGCUGUAUCUGGGCCUGCAAAGUUAAAAGUUAUAGACACUGCUUGGUUUUCUCUCUCGUUUUUUGGAC